rnacentral:lncRNA from 1 species
AUGUAUACACAAUAGAUUCAAAAUUGAGCUUAACCAUGUAUUGUAUAAAAAGGAAAUGUACAGCAUGUGAAAUAUAGGUUCCACAACUGCAACAAGUGUAUUAUGAUAUUUCUCCACUAGAGACAGUUAAAUUUUAAUAUUUAAAGCACGAAGGCUUGCCAAGCUUUUUAAAUAAUUAAAAUUUAACUGUUGAGAGUGGAGAAAUAUCGUAAUACACGAGUUACAGUUGUGGAAUUUGUUUCUCUCAUGAUUUUUAUCCUUCCUUUUCAAAGAUUUGAGGAAAAUUGUGUACUUUUGAUGUGACGUCAUCAAACAUGGUCACCUUUUUUCAUGACGUCACAAUAAGAAAAUUCAAAAGAAAACAAGAAAAUUUUAAUAACGUCACAAUUAAAUUUCAACCAAUCAUUUGCUGAGAACAGAUUUUUCACUAGUGAGGAGAAAUAUUUUUCUCACACCGGUCAGGAAAUGUGAAAAUAGCACCAAAAUUAGAGAAACAAAAAUUGUACCCAGAUUUAAAACUUCUUAGGAUUAUACAUGAUAAAUAAAAUGUAUAAAUUAUGGAUUUCUAAUCCGUUAAUCAUACAAUAAAAUAUCAAAAUUGUAAACAGAAAAAACAAAACAAAAACAAAUACAAAGUUGUUAUAUAAAAUAUAUAGACCUUAUUGCUAUUUGGGUAUCUACUACACUUGACCAGAGAAUGUACGAAUAUUGACUUCAAACAACAAUCACUUUUCCUUGCCUGGCUUUGGCUUCACUUUUUGUUCUUUUUAAAUCUAUCAUCUUCCAUUUUUGAAUAAGAAUUGAAUUUCCAAAUAUAUUUGCCUCUAGCAUUAAUUCUCAGAAUGCUCAUUUGGUGCAGUAAAAUGGAUUCUGUUAAUGUUAUUUCCUUUGAGGCGUCAGAUAUUUUCUAACAUGAGGUCAUCAUUCUAAAUAUAUGUGGUGGACAAAUAGGAAUAAGGUGUAUUUCAAUACAUGUGUAUUUGUAGAGUAAAGUUUAUAAAAAUAGAAUUAGUGUGACAACUCAAUCAUUAAAUAGUUCUAAAUAAAUUCA